AAUUUUUAGAGUGUGCUUUUGAUUUUAUGGUGAAAUUAAAGAUUUUUGUGUGUGUGUGUUUAAGAUUAUAAGAUUUAGUGAACGAACCAGAUUAGUACCUGGUUAGAUAAAAAUUAAAAGAGCAGGAGUAAAGUUGAGUUUAAACUGUAAUAAUAUUGGCAGGCUUUUAAAUUAUCUUUGGAGGCUGAGUAGUAAUUGAGAGCCCUCAUUCACAACUCUUAUUUUGGGCUCAUGUAUGAUCGUUUAUUUUAUUCUUAAGGAUUGUAAUUUUAGUUUUUAUCUGUUAAAAUAGAUAUAUACUUGGUUUAUAUAGGAGGUUAAUUUGGCCUACAAUGUUGUAUUUUUUGGAUAGUGCUGGCAGUUGGUACUUGAAAUUGUAAAAGACAGUAAAGUCCUUUUAAUGGGGGAUUGAAGUUUAUUUAAAAGCGG
rnacentral:rRNA from 1 species